rnacentral:rRNA from 1 species
UCUUCGUUUCACAAACAAAUAAAUCAAAACUUUCAACAACGGAUCUCUUGGUUCUGGCAUCGAUGAAGAACGCAGCAAAAUGCGAUAAGUAAUGUGAAUUGCAGAAUUCAGUGAAUCAUCGAAUCUUUGAACGCACAUUGCGCCCGCCAGUAUUCUGGCGGGCAUGCCUGUUCGAGCGUCAUUUCAACCCUCAAGCUCAGCUUGGUGUUGGGACUCGCGGUAACCCGCGUUCCCCAAAUCGAUUGGCGGUCACGUCGAGCUUCCAUAGCGUAGUAAUCAUACACCUCGUUACUGGUAAUCGUCGCGGCCGACGCCGUAAAACCCCAACUUCUGAAUGUUGACCUCGGAUCAGGUAGGAAUACCCGCAGCGCUGAG